AAGGUGGAUUUAGUUUUCACCACUAAAUACAUUACUCCAACUUACACCAAUAAAAUAACCCUUUGUAGCAACUUACACUGUAGUCAUCAUGAGAUCCAGUCCGUUAGAAUAAAUUUAAAUAUAUAAAUGACUUAUAUUGAAGUGGUGUAAGUUGGAAGAAUGUAUUUGAUAGUCCAAACUAAACUUUACACUU
rnacentral:pre_miRNA from 1 species